rnacentral:rRNA from 1 species
GNNUUUGAUCCUGGCUCAGAUUGAACGCUGGCGGCAGGCCUAACACAUGCAAGUCGAGCGGUAGCACAGAGAGCUUGCUCUCGGGUGACGAGCGGCGGACGGGUGAGUAAUGUCUGGGAAACUGCCUGAUGGAGGGGGAUAACUACUGGAAACGGUAGCUAAUACCGCAUAAUGUCGCAAGACCAAAGAGGGGGACCUUCGGGCCUCUUGCCAUCAGAUGUGCCCAGAUGGGAUUAGCUAGUAGGUGGGGUAACGGCUCACCUAGGCGACGAUCCCUAGCUGGUCUGAGAGGAUGACCAGCCACACUGGAACUGAGACACGGUCCAGACUCCUACGGGAGGCAGCAGUGGGGAAUAUUGCACAAUGGGCGCAAGCCUGAUGCAGCCAUGCCGCGUGUAUGAAGAAGGCCUUCGGGUUGUAAAGUACUUUCAGCGGGGAGGAAGGUGUUGAGGUUAAUAACCUCAGCAAUUGACGUUACCCGCAGAAGAAGCACCGGCUAACUCCGUGCCAGCAGCCGCGGUAAUACGGAGGGUGCAAGCGUUAAUCGGAAUUACUGGGCGUAAAGCGCACGCAGGCGGUCUGUCAAGUCGGAUGUGAAAUCCCCGGGCUCAACCUGGGAACUGCAUCCGAAACUGGCAGGCUUGAGUCUUGUAGAGGGGGGUAGAAUUCCAGGUGUAGCGGUGAAAUGCGUAGAGAUCUGGAGGAAUACCGGUGGCGAAGGCGGCCCCCGGACAAAGA